rnacentral:rRNA from 1 species
UACGAAGGGGGCUAGCGUUGCUCGGAUUUACUGGGCGUAAAGGGCGCGUAGGCGGUUCGGUAAGUCAGACGUGAAAUUCCUGGGCUCAACCUGGGGGCUGCGUUUGAUACGUGCGGACUUGAGUGCGGAAGAGGGUCGUGGAAUUCCCAGUGUAGAGGUGAAAUUCGUAGAUAUUGGGAAGAACACCGGUGGCGAAGGCGGCGACCUGGUCCGAUACUGACGCUGAUGCGCGAAAGCGUGGGGAGCAAACGGG